rnacentral:rRNA from 1 species
UCAUUCCGGAAUUGGAGGCAUUGCCUGCCAGUGACAACUGUUUAACGGCCGCGGUAUCCUGACCGUGCAAAGGUAGCAUAAUCAUUUGUUCUCUAAAUAAGGACUUGUAUGAAUGGCCGCACGAGGGUUUUACUGUCUCUUACUUCCAAUCAGUGAAAUUGACCUUCCCGUGAAGAGGCGGGAAUGCACAAAUAAGACGAGAAGACCCUAUGGAGCUUUAACUAACCAACCCAAAGAGAAUAGAUUUAACCAUUAAGGAAUAACAACAAUCUCCAUGAGUUGGUAGUUUCGGUUGGGGUGACCUCGGAGAAUAAAAAAUCCUCCGAGCGAUUUUAAAGACUAGACCCACAAGUCAAAUCACUCUAUCGCUCAUUGAUCCAAAAACUUGAUCAACGGAACAAGUUACCCUAGGGAUAACAGCGCAAUCCUAUUCAAGAGUCCAUAUCGACAAUAGGGUUUACGACCUCGAUGUUGGAUCAGGACAUCCUGAUGGUGCAACCGCUAUCAAAGGUUCGUUUGUUCAACGAUUAAAGUCCUACGUGAUCUGAGUUCAGACCGGA